UAACCUACACAUUAACCUACACAUUCAUAAACACAUUAACCUACACAUUAACCUACACAUUAACCUACACAUUAACCUACACAUUAACCUACACAUUCAUAAACACAUUAACCUACACAUUCAUAAACACAAUAAAAUACACAAUACUAAACCCUGAUUGGCUGUCCAGGCCUAAACCCUGAUUGGCUGUCCAGGCCUAAACCCUGAUUGGCUGUCCAGGCCUAAACCCUGAUUGGCUGUCCAGGCCUAAACCCUGAUUGGCUGUCCAGGCCUAAACCCUGAUUGGAUGCCCAGGCCUAAACCCCGAGUGGAUGCCCAGGCCUAAACCCUGAUUGGAUGCCCAGGCCUAAACACUGAUUGGAUGCCCAGGCCUAAACCCUGAUUGGAUGCCCAGGCCUAAACCCUGAUUGGAUGCCCAGGCCUAAACCCUGAUUGGAUGCCCAGGCCAUUAAUUUAAAAAAAAUAGCAAAGUUGUACAUUCACCAAGGAUUCUAGAACUUUAGCUAGACCAGGAAGUCUUGAAGUGGUGCGGUAAUCAUUAAGAUCACUACUAUUCCCCGUCCUUACGCACAAGAGCUGAUUUCCAUACUUCAUGGAAUAUAUUUCCUGAUAACAAUGUUAAAUUAAAAAUGGUGGUUAUUGAGCCAACAAUGGUGGGCGCUGCUGCACACUUGAGCAGACAGAUCCAAUUGGUCGGCCCCCCCCCCACUUGUGGAUUUCUUGUAGUCUAUUGCUAUCAAAGCAUCCAGGAUGUUUUUUUCUGUAAAUAAGCCUAAAAGAAAAAGCUUUGACCAUCAUUUCUCUGAUCAUUCAGCGAGUUUCCCCUUAUCAGCAUGAAGAGGCCUAGAAGUUCAAAGAGAUGGCUGAAAAUAAAAUGGUGAUUUAAUGCAAUAUUAGAGGCAAUACAGUAUGAACUGACACAGAAGUUAGUUUAAAGAACCAAUACGCUAUAGGCUGACUGACACAUCUAUACAGUAUGUAGAUCUACUAACACAGCUGUUCUGACCAUAUACAGUAUACACUAUCAUCAUCAGGACAUCUCCCAGGACAUAGACAUAUCUGAUAUGGGCAAAAAAGCUUAAAUGCCUGGUAAUCUAACUGCACGGUCCAAUUUACAGUAGCUAUUACAGUGAAAGAAUACCAUGCUAUUGUUUGAGGAGAGGGCAGAGUUAUGACAUGUAUCAAUAAACCAAUUAGGCACAUUUGGGCAGUCCUGAUACAGCAUUUUGAACUGAAAUGCAAUGAUUCAUUGGAUCAGUCAACAAAAUGCACAUACACUGCUGCCAUCUAGUGGCCAAAAUCUAAAUGAUGCCUGAACUGGUAUAAUACGAUUGGUAAAUGAGUCUAGCCAGCUAUCUAAACUUGUAGUAAUUAUGGUCUCAUUACCGAUCGGGGGCUCCCAUUAAUUUUGCUUGUCACUUUCACUCAGAUAUUAUAUAAACACUGCAAAUAUUUCUCUCCAUCCUAUGGCAAACUGUGUAGAAUUGCAAGAGAUUAACUCUAUAAUGUUUUAUUUUAUGAACGUGGGUGCGCAGACCAGUGAGCCACUGCGGUCCCUCAUGAGGAGGUCAGAUUUUUUGUAGUGAAUACAUAGAACCAGGAGUAGGCUCUGUCUGGGAAACAUAGAACCAGGAGUAGGCUCUGACUGGGAAACAUAGAACCAGGAGUAGGUUCUGACUUGGAAACAUAGAACCAGGAGUAGGCUCUGUCUGGGAAACAUAGAACCAGGAGUAGGCUCUGUCUGGGAAACAUAGAACCAGGAGUAGGCUCUGUCUGGGAAACAUAGAACCAGGAGUAGGCUCUGUCUGGGAAACAUAGAACCAGGAGUAGGCUCUGUCUGGGAAACAUAGAACCAGGAGUAGGUUCUGACUGGGAAACAGAACCAGGAGAGGCUCUGACUGGGAAACAGAACCAGGAGAGGCUUAGAACCCGGAGUAGGCUUUGUCUGGGAAACAGAACCAGGAGAGGCUCUGUCUGGGAAACAGAACCAGGAGAGGCUUAGAUCCCGGAGUAGGCUCUGUCUGGGAAACAUAGAACCAGGAGAGGCUCUGUCUGGGAAACAGAACCUACUCCUGGAUCUGUCUGGGAAACAUAGAACCAGGAGUAGGCUCUGUCUGGGAAACAUAGAACCAGGAGAGGCUCUGACUGGGAAACAGAACCAGGAGUAGGCUCUGUCUGGGAAACAUAGAACCAGGAGUAGCCUCUGUCUGGGAAACAUAGAACCAGGAGUAGCCUCUGUCUGGGAAACAUAGAACCAGGAGAGGCUCUGUCUGGGAAACAUAGAACCAGGAGAGGCUCUGUCUGGGAAACAUAGAACCAGGAGAGGCUCUGUCUGGGAAACAUAGAACCAGGAGAGGCUCUGUCUGGGAAACAUAGAACCAGGAGAGGCUCUGUCUGGGAAACAUAGAACCAGGAGAGGCUCUGUCUGGGAAACAUAGAACCAGGAGAGGCUCUGUCUGGGAAACAUAGAACCAGGAGAGGCUCUAUCUGGGAAACAUAGAACCAGGAGAGGCUCUGUCUGGGAAACAUAGAACCAGGAGAGGCUCUGUCUGGGAAACAUAGAACCAUGAGAGGCUCUAUCUGGGAAACAUAGAACCAGGAGAGGCUCUGUCUGGGAAACAUAGAACCAGGAUAGGCUCUGUCUGGAAACCAACUCUUCAUGUGUAAAUACAUUAACUUUAGCUUUAUGUGCUUUCAGGGUUUGCUUUAUGUUAAUAGUAUGUGUGUGCGUUGGUUCUGAUGCAGAGAAUGUAUGUGAUGAAUGGUUUGGAGGCUGAGGAUGUGUUCAUACAGUUGGUUGGCUUGUAAUAAAGAAAGUACUGGAA